rnacentral:rRNA from 1 species
AAGUCGAGGGGUAACAGCCCCGCUUCGGCGGGAGCUGACGACCGGCGCACGGGUGAGUAACGCGUAUGCAACUUUCCUGUAACUGGAGGAUAGCCCCUGGAAACGGGGAUUAAUACUGCGUAAUACCUAAAUACCGCAUGGUAUUAAGGUCAAAUCUACGGAGGUUACAGAUGGGCAUGCGUGCCAUUAGCUAGAUGGUAAGGUAACGGCUUACCAUGGCAAUGAUGGCUAGGGGUUCUGCAAGGAAGGCCCCCCACACUGGUACUGAGACACGGACCAGACUCCUACGGGAGGCAGCAGUGAGGAAUAUUGGUCAAUGGAGGCAACUCUGAACCAGCCAAGCCGCGUGAAGGAAGACUGUCCUAUGGAUUGUAAACUUCUUUUGUGGCAGAAUAAACUACCGUACUUGUACGGUAUUGCAUGUAUGCCAUGAAUAAGCAUCGGCUAACUCCGUGCCAGCAGCCGCGGUAAUACGGAGGAUGCAGGCGUUAUCCGGAUUUAUUAGGUUUAAAGGGUGUUCAGGCUGCCUGGUAAGUCAGGGGUGAAAGUCGGUUGCUCAACGAUCGAAUUGCCUUUGAAACUGUCAGGCUCGAGUAUGGAUGCGGUAGGCGGAAUGUGUAGUGUAGCGGUGAAAUGCAUAGAUAUUACACAGAACACCGAUUGCGAAGGCAGCUUACCAAACCAGCACUGACGCUGAAGCACGAAAGCGUGGGGAGCGAACAGGAUUAGAUACCCUGGUAGUCCACGCCGUAAACUUUGCUCACUCGCUGUUGGCGAU